GGUUGGGGUGUGUAGGUUGUAGCACAAAUGUAAAAAUCAAUUCAGGGCCCUGCAACCCUCAUAUAAAUUGGAUGCAGUGGGGGUGCUCACAUCUGUAAUCUCAGGGUGGCUCUCCGGGGAGAAGCGGGGUGGAGACAAGCAACUCCCUGUAGCUUACAAGCCAGCCAGCCUGGCAUAAGCAGAAGUAAGCAAGAGACAAGGAAGUCCGUGGCCGAUACCCAAGGUCCAGCUCUGAUCUACACUAACAGGCUGUGGUACUAGGCCUAGACGAGGGGCUGGGAUUGGCUUGAUGGGAGAGGUUGAGCGUUCUGGGUUCCCUCCUCAGCUCCUCGGUAAGUAAACAAACAAAUCCUGUUCCUUGCAUCCCUGAAGCUCUCCUGCUUAUGUCUCAGCUCCCAGAGUGCGCGCUGGCCUUUACAAACCUCGCAGAUUCUUGGCCACCGAAUGCGCUGAGUCAUAGAAUACCUUGUGGGCUGGCGGAACGAAGGCCAGCUUUUCCACACGCCAUCCACACAGCGGUCUUUCCCCCGUUCAUCGCUUUGGAGCCUGCAGACUGUGCCCCACGGAGACCGCUCCUACUCAGAUGAGGCAAACCUGACCCCUGGCCCAGCUGUAUGCAAUAACCCCGCCCCCAUGUUCUACUCUUUAUAAUAAACAGGGUGUGCUUCUGG